rnacentral:lncRNA from 1 species
UAUCAUCUUUUUUAUGAUAAAUAAAUACAAUCAAAUCCCUAGUUAUAUAAGAAAGUCCUAGGGUCACCUUUUGUUAACUUAGAAUGGAACUCUAUGUAGCAUUUUUUAUUAUUUUGUUGAAUUAGAGUUCGAAUCAAGUCAGGCUAGUCAAGUCACACUCCUAUUUGCGCUCAGCUAAAAAAUUUUCAGGCUUUAAGCUAGGCUUAAGCUCAAAAUUUCUUUCCAAAUUCUAGUAAAAACAUAAGCUUGUGCUUGGCUAGAAUCCAAUCAACCUAGAAUUAGAUAAAGCUAUGUAGGCUAAAAGGCUAGAGUUGACCUGAACUAUUUCGAUUGACCCAACAUUCAUAGCCUCAAGCUAUGAGACUCCUGAAAGAAGAUCCUAAUAAUAAAUUCAGGCCAGAAUUGGAUCGGGUGUGGGCCAAUAGCAGACCAAGCAUCAACCCAAGCCCAACCCGAAUAUUAUUCAUAUCCUACUUUUAGGCCCAAGCCCUAUUCGAAUAAUCUUGGACCUAGCUGGAAUGAUCUUAAGCUUGGCCCAAGGCCCAAAAUCAAAUCUAGGCUGGCUAGAUGGUCCUCAAGCCAACCGAAGCUCAUCUCCAACCCCAUAUCAAA